GAUCCUGUGAUUAUGAAAUCCUGUGAUUCUGGGAUCCUGUGAUUGUGAGAUCCUGCAAUCCAGAGAAACGGUGAACCUGCAAUCCUGGGGUUGUUAGAGAGCCUGGUAGUGGAGCUUACUCUGGGUGUUGUGGGACUGGCUGUGGAGUUCAUGCUCAAGGUCUGCUCAGCGCAUGGGCUCAGACUGGAAGGAACCUGUGCCACUGGUCAGGUGGAGUUCCUGGGUGCCUGAAUCCUGCUGUUCCCAGUAAAUUCCAGUGUUGUGUUGUUAGUUUUCUAUGACCCAGAAGUGCACUAUGGGACCAUCUUACCUCUGUCUUACUUUUCUACGUGGGAAUUGAGAACAGUAAGGCUUCUUCCAAACCUGCUUCUCUUGUUUGUAAUACCAUGGUUUUCAUCUCAUUGUUUGUCAGUCUAUAUUAGAGUUGAAAUUAUUAAGCAGCUUGCAGGGAAGUGAAGAGAGCAGGCAGUGAUGCAGCUGACCUGGAGGUCAGGCCCUCUGAAAGUGUGACCCUCUUUGGUCACCUCAGGAGCCUCAGUAAAGGCAGCUUUACAUGGCUCUGUCACCUCCACAAAGAGUUGUGGUCUGCUGUCAGGAUCUUCUGAAAGGGGUGAGAAAAAUGACACAGACAACAGGACUGAAAUUGACAAAUUAAGCUUCUGGACCAUCCAAACAUCAUGAAGCUGCUCCACAUCAGAAAAUGCAUCUUUAUGGUAAUAGAAUGUACAGCAGAAAGAGAUGUUUUGAGCCACAGAAGGUUGACAGUUUUCAGGAGGAGCAGGCUCAGCACAUCCACACACAGGUGUGUUCAGUUCACUAUGCCAUGAGAACACCAUUGCACACAGGGACAUGAAAUUGUAUGUAUUUGGACUGGCCAUCAAUGGUACCUCUGGGCAAUAGUUCAAGGGUGGUAGUGGUAUAGUGUGUGGUUUGGUGACACCAGAUUCCCAAUAUAUUGUGUGUGGAAUAGCACUGUUUUGUCAGGUAGUAUGGGAUGGGGUGAGCAACAGGACUUGAUCUACUACAGCCUUACUUUAACACCCUAAAUACAUUGUUACUUCAAGUACCUAAAGAACAAUUAACAUAUAGAUUUCUAGACAUCAGUCCUGGCUAGACAGCAGCUAUUUUGCUGUCUCAUAUACAAAGCCAGGUGCCAGAACCUGUUAGGCAUUCCCCUAACUACAUUGCCACCAGAAAUACAGGGACAGGCAUCAGGACUUGCUUGUCAUUCCAACCCCUGCCAUUAACCAACAUAUACUCUUAGAUUCACAUCUUGCAGGACACCUCCUGUCCUGGCAUAUACCCCAGGUGUAAUACACUGUUAAAUAGCACUUGUACUUGGAGGCACCAGGAAUUACUGUACAACCUCCCCAUUGCCUUGAAUACAUUCCCAAGUAUUGGGCCAUGCACUACUUCCCACCAAACACCACCCUGACUGCUGGGUAUUGAAGCAUGCUAAACAGGUCACCAACAUAUGCAUCACAUUAGAUCCGUGUAUCCGGUCCUGAUCCCUGACAAACCCUCAUAUUGACUGAUAGUCAUCAGGCCAUGAUGGAUACUCCCUGCCACUGUACCAUCAACUCACUGCUCUGUCCUGGGCCCUGCUUGACAGCCUCACAUUAACCACACACUAUACCACUACCACCCUUGAACUAUUGCCCAGAGGUACCUUUGAUGGCCAGUCCAAAUACAUACAAUUUCAUGUCCCUGUGUGCAAUGGUGUUCUCAUGUCCUUCUCGGUGUCAGGACCCUCUUAGACAUCAGCUCCAAUCUGCACCUACUACAACAAUAGUUAUCAGGCCUUGAUGGAGAUUCCUGUACCCCUUUCACAGACUAUAAUCUACUAUGUCAUAGGCCCUGCUGGAUAAACUUAGGACAUCAGUCUUGAUGGACAUCCCCUCAAGAGUCUGUUUGGGUACAAUGCCAACAUGCUGUCCCCUAUGCCAAGCUGUGUGGCACUGUCAAUGGAAUUUCUAGUAAUGUCAGAUAGCUAGCACUGUGUGUGGAUUGGUAUCCUCAGGGAAGGGGUAUUUAGGAAGGCCUAGACACCUGAAUGCUAUGUGGGAAGGUGGCUUUAGGUGUCCACCUUGCCUGAAUGGACAUCCUUGCCUGAAAAUAGCACUGUGUGUGUGGGCACCCAGCAUGGAGUAAAAGCAGUGUAUUUAGGGCUGUGGGAAAGGGGAAAGGCGAGUGAAACAGGACCUAGGGCCUAGCAGUUGUCUGUGAUAGUGGAAGGGAUGUCCUAGAGGGCUUCAAACCUCAGUGUAUGUCAUGUGGAUGGUGUAGAGUGUCCAGAAGGAUCUCAAAAUGGCACUAUAAGUGGGGCUGCAUCAGGAGACAAGCUGUAGGGCCUGAUAGCUUGCUUAUGCUUUUCAGAUAGCAGCAGGGAGUUGUUUUGUUCAGUAGCAUCUGUCAUCUGGUAUAGUAAGUGGUGUAGCCACUCUGGUGUGUUGUCCUUUGAGUCCUGACACCUUAAACAUUACAUGGGUUCUAAAUGAGUGUGUCCAACCCUGCCUGAAAAUUAUCAUUAUAUUUGGGGCAGCAGCAUGGGAGAGUGGAUAUUAUAAAUAUUAUAAACUUAUAGGUAGCAGGCAUUGCUGACACCUCCCUCACAGAUAUACCAUAUACAAUAGAAGCUAUCAACUCCAGCUGCAUAUAACUGGGUGGAUACAACCAUCCAUAACUCAGGACCUACUGGGCCCUACCCCACAUAAACUGGUAGAUUGCAAGUGCUGCUGGCAAGCACUUAGAUCCCUAUAUAUACUGUCAUAAAACAUAUGCUCAGGGAACCAAAUCCUCACUAUUGUGUAAUGGGUUUUUAUCCGACCCUGCUGGACACAUUCCCUCCCUGUACCCAUCACUCAUAAAGAUGCUGCUAUGUUUCAGUCUAUGCUGGUAAAUCCACUCUGCCUCACCCCACAUACAAUACUAAGUCUUAUACCCUGUGAGACCACCCUACCUCACAUACAUUGUAAGGAAUCAGACCCUGCUGUUCCUAACCUCCUGUGUUCACUGCUAAGGUUUAGUCUUGUUAGGAAUUCAACUACCAAACUCAAGGCACUCUGAAGAAUCAGGAGCCCCUCCUCCUGCCACCACUGUGCUUUGUAUAGUGUCAGGUCCUACUGUACCUAACCAAUACACAAAGUGUGGAGGGACAGGACCUAGGGAGGCAUGAUCCCCUUUUCCCAGUCAUUUCCAUCUGCAAACAUUGCACAUUUUCAAGCCAGGUUGGACACUGACCUGCUGUUUUCCCAUAGAAACUUCUAGGUAUCCAGCCUUUCCCCAGCUGCCCAGCUUGUCCCAUGCACACUAGUAUAUCAGAGCCUGUUGGUUUGCCUUGAUCCAUGUAGCGAACUCACAUCCUCUGCCAGCUCUCAGAGCACACUGGGCAUCCUGAUGCACACUUCCACCCUCUGCUACAUUACUGUUGUGUUUCAGGAGUUGUUAUGCAUUUUCUGACAAGCCUGCCAUCCUUCUUUUAUAGUUCAUUCCUAGCAGUAGUGGGGGGGGCAGCAGCAUGGUAUAAUAGCUAGCAGUGUGUGUGUGUGUGUGUGUGUGUGUGUGUGUGUGUGUGUGUGUGUAUGUGUGUGUGUGUUGCAUGUUUGCCUGCUGGUCCUCAUAUCUACUGGAUCAUGUUGGAAGAGGGUGUAUUUCAGACAUGAUUUUUGGGCAGUGGCAAGGUGCACCAUGUUCACAUACGUGCUUGUGCCUUCAAUCCUGAUGCUGUGAUUUCUAUUCAGUAAGGAGAAGCAAACUUGCUGUCAGACACAUUGAACACAUGGAAGAUGGUAGACCCUGCUGUCAUGUUUUAGACAAUGUCCUAGAGAGUUAAGGUUGCAAGGAAUGAAUGCAGAUUUGGGUGUACUCCUGAUCUUCCUGUAAAGUUGGACAGUUCUGUGACCAAGUGGAGGGACCCAGUGUGGCUGGACUUGUCAGAAACUGAUCCAUCCUUCAUAAUUACUCAUGCAUGCUCAGAUUCUAGAGGAGGCCUUUGCCACGUCUUUUUGGCCAGGCCCACAUGGGUGAUGGCUUUUUCUGGCCCAGAAUACAUUUACAAGAGGGUUAGUAGAGGAUGCUGUUGAUACUGCUGAGGGCUACUCAGGACUGCAUCAGUGAGGUAUUUUAACCUUUCCAACAGUCUGUUUCCUGUGUCUCUCAAGAGAUGAAGGAGAAAAGGCCCAUCUCUGUGGGUGUUGAACCAUGGGAGCAGGGAGUAUUCUGACAAGGACUGAGAGGUUAAGGAAGGAGCCAGGCUCAAGCUUCAAGGGGACAUAUGCCUGACCACCCACCAGCCAACAAUGCAACUCUGGAUACAAGUGCCUGUGCCCUUCCUCCAGUUGCUGGAAUUUAGCUACUAGAUCUAUGCUCCAUCAGCUUCCAGGAGCUCCAACCAUGAUGUCCUGGUCAUGCUGGUCAAGAACGGUUCCCUCGUCCCAACCCCUGACUUGGGUUUGCAACAUGUUCUUGAACCUGGACCACCAGCACCAGAUGCUGUAACAAAAUUCCUGAACAGGACGCAAGAGUGGUUCAGCUGAGCCUUGAGAGGUGAUUGUACCAUGGCACCUGUCCCCUGGAUGGGACAACUUGAGGAAGGGCCAUCCAUAUUCCUGUUCCCUACCCAGGACACUGCUAAUGUGCAUAUGAGGAGAACACAAGACCCCAACCUGCUGCAGGAUGGAGAGCAGAGACAACUGAAGCCUUCUGCAUAACACUUGUGCAUUCCUUCUGCAGGCUUCAAAAGACUAAUCUGUGAUUUUAGACACAGGACAGGAGGAGACUGAGAGGUGAACGCUGGCCAAGCCUGCAUGUUCUCCCAGGGCAGUGACCUGCAAAUGAUGUUCCACUGACUAGAUUUUUGGAUAGUAAUUGUUGUAGUCCAAGAGACUCUUUGACAAGUCAAGAGUGUGGACAUCUGGAGCAUUCUGGGAACAUAAUUUUAAUAGUAAUAUAAUUUUCUAUAACCUGCAAGAGUUUAAUAGUUCUAGUUAUUUUAUUUAUGUAUGAUAUAUUUAGUUUUGUUUUAUGAGCUUGUUGGGAUUUUCAACAUAUAGAUUCACUUCGUUUAUGAAUGAAUAUUCUACUGGCAGUUUCAGUGGGAUGAACAGUUAAUCCUCUCUCCCUCCCUCCCUCCCUCCCUGGCUCCCUCGUUCUUUGCUCUCCUCUCACACAACCUCCUCCUUUUUCCAGUCCUCUGUGUUUCCAACCUCAGACUCCUGCAGUAGAGAUUACACUUAUUACCAUUUUUAUCUUGGCAUGGCAGCAAUGCCAACAUUCCCAAAACUAAGGAACCUAAGCUGGAGAAUUGUGGCACUAUUAGCCAACAUGUGCUGCAUUAAAAACAAAAGAAAAUGAAAGAACAAACAGACUUCUUUCCAAAACCAUGUUGUUUUUAAAGUUUACCAGCCCUGUCCUCUAAGGCACCUGGUUAUGGCUGUUCACUGAUGGGGUUAGGAUUGCAUUUUUCUUUUUGAUAUUUUGUUUCAUCCUCCAGCUCAUAUUUAUUACUCACUUCUUUCCUUUUUCUCUAUAGAUACUUUAUUGUAUCAUGUUAAUUGUUUUCCUGAUUUUGUGACCAUAGUUAAUAGAUGCUCUAAUGAUGUGCCCAAACCUAUUUCAGAUUAGUAGUAAUCUAGCUUUGAUAACAUAGAAAAACAGCUUCAGAACAGCUGUUUUCUUUCCUUCCUCUGGGCCCUAAAGGCUAUUUGUAUUACAUCUCUGAUGGAAAGCCAUCAACACAUUGUUUCAUUUCUUUAUAGGACAACAAGCCCUCUUGAGUCGUUUUAUUUCUACACAGACACUAUCACUCAUAUCUUUGACAUUUAUCUGUUUGAAUUUGAUUCACCAUCUGGUAAAAUGUCCUUACUCACUGGGAAUUUCCUUUCCCAUUGUGAAUGUAAGGCAGUCACAGCCCAUUCCUUUCUUUCUCCUUGGUGUGGGUCAAUCUGCCUGAAGCCUGCACAGCUGGACAAGGAGUCUGAUGCAGGUGUAUCUUUAAAGACUGAGAGUCUCCAGAUGUUCUUGUUCCCUGACUAUACUGAGUUCUUGUUGAUUCCUUCUAGGAAGUUGUAAAACCAUUCUGGCUCAUUUUGAGGGUUAAAAACCACUGGCUUAGACAAUUCACACCUGUAGCAUAAAGGCAGGGCAUUAAGUAGCCUUUGUGUCUUCUCUGCAGGAACCUCUCAGAUCUAACUCUCAGCCUGCUUUUGGAGUCCCAGGGGGAAAAAGGUGAUUUUAAUUUUUAUUUGCAAGUUCUAUGUCUACAAAUCCUCUGAAAAACCAUACCAUUUCAAAAAAGAAUUCUCUGUACAGUCUUUGUCCUUAGUACUUAUGUAUCUUUCAGAAUAUAUGAUAUAAAAAGAUCACCACAAAUUUAC